rnacentral:misc_RNA from 1 species
GCGGAAGUUUUGACAACGCGUAAUGACAUAGACCCAAACUGAAAGUAGCUAACUGGCGGCUUAGAAUAUAUAGUGAAAUAUUCCGUUUCGUUUAAGAAUGGACGAUUACUUCAGUCCUUGGCCCGUUGUAUGUGCCAUUGACUUUGGGACAACAUACAGUGGCUAUGCUUAUUCCAUGCGACCAGACUAUGAGAGGAACCCACUAAAUAUUGAGUGCAAUCCAUCAUGGUCAAACGAGGAAAUGAUGACACCAAAAACUCCGACUUGUAUUCUUUUCGAUAAGUCGGAAAACUUCCAUUCAUUUGGGUACGAUGCAGAAAAGAAAUAUAGAAAGCUAGCUGAAAAAGCCCAAGAAAAACUAGAGAUUGACGAAGAAGACGAUAGCAAUGAUAGUGAUGAUAGUGAUGAUAGCGGCAAUGAAAAAGUCGAAGAUAAAAUUGAAGAAGACAACGUUACUGAGUGGCUUUAUUUUAGAAGAUUUAAAAUGAAGCUGUAUCAAGACGAUAUGAAGGCGAAGCAAAAAUUAAAGAAAUUGAAACUAAGUGCAGAAAAUGGGAAGAAACUUCCAGCUUUGAAAAUACGUCACAAGAGCAACGUCAUACCUCUGUGUCCACAAGAAAACAGGAAACACACUCUGAACGUUCUGUUUCUAAUAUUGUGGAUAGUAAUCACUCGUCUUGGUCGGACGACAUCUUGUGGGUCCUAACAGUUCCUGCAAUUUGGUCUGACGAAGCGAAACAGUUCAUGCGUGAUGCUGCUAUACAGGCUGGCAUUAGAGACGACCAUUUGGUACUGGCGCUGGAACCAGAGUCCGUAGCUCUGCUCUGUAAGCAGCUAGCACUGACCAAAAAAGGAGUUGAUAUCAAGGUACAGAUGUUUGAACCUGGCAGCAAGUUCAUGGUCAUCGAUUGUGGAGGUGGAACAGUGGAUGUGACGGCUUACAGAGUUGAAAACAACCAAGCCCUACGAGAGUUGCAUUGCGCAUCUGGAGAUGCAGUAGGGGGAACAAAUGUGGACAUGCUUUUUAUCAAUCUUUUAAAUGACAUAUUUAGAAAGGCCGUGGUGGAAAGAUUUCAGAACAAAUCACCAUCAGAUUGGCAUGAAUUGCUGAGAAGUUUUGAAGUUAAAAAACGGGGUAUUGGGCUAAAACAUCCAAACGAAAAGGAGAAAGAACUAAUAACUUUUUCAAGUUUAGGUACACUGAUUGACGCAUUUACACAUUUAAAUGGACACAGUAAAAAUGCUAUUUCUAAACGAAUACAAGAGAUGGAUUUAAAAAAGAAGAUAAAAUGUAACGGUCCAAAGAUGCGCAUUGAUGAAACUUACUUAAUUGAGACAGUUUUUGCUGGUCCAAUCAAAGAUAUUGUGAAACACUUGAAAAAUUUGUUCGCUGAGAAAGACGUAAAAGAUAUCGAUAUAAUAUUGCUUGUCGGGGGAUUCUCCGAAUGCCCACUCCUGCAAGAUGCAAUUAAGAGGGAAUUUCCAGACAAGACAAUUGUUAAUCCGCGAGAUGGCAGCAUUGCGGUAAUGAAGGGGGCGGUGUUGUUUGGACACAGUGCUGAGAUUGUAGCUCAGAAAAGGAUAGAACAGGGGCAUCAGCUGCACGAAGUACAAGAAGUCUCUGAAUGCGUAGUUCGUAGGAGUAGGGCGUACUAUGGGGUUGCGACAGAUGUUCCCUUUGUUGAUGGUGAACAUCUCCCAGUUUGUAGAUAUACCAACGAAGAAGGUUUAUCUAUGUGUUCAGACAUUUUUGAUUGCCUCAUAAAGAAAAAUCAGGUGAUGGAAAUAGGACAAUCUGUUUUUGAAAAGACUUUCAAAGCCUCUAGUACAUUGGCGAACGUAGAAAUUUAUCGAUCAGACAGGGAGGUACAAUACUGCCAUGAAGAUGGCUGUCGAAACAUUGGAAAUAUUAAUGCCCUUUAUUCGGAUGACAUCGGUGAUAGGAGAUUAUUUAAAAUCCAGCUACAUUUUGGUUUCACAGAAAAAAUAGCAAUAGCAAUGGACAUGAAGACACAAAAAACCUGGAAGGCCAAACUCGACUGUAUUCUGUAGAAUAUCACCAAACGUUAUAACAAACGCAACUCACCUCUCACAUAUAAACUAUGUAUAGAAUCAUUAUAAACAAUAUUAACACUCUAAAUGAGAGAUCUCAGAUAUGACAUCAACAGGAAUAUUGGGUUGGUGAAAUACCUCUGUUGAGCCGAUUUCUUCAUUGUCUUAUACAAUACCUUUAUGAUUCAAUGGACAUGAUUAUUGUUUUAUCCGAGGACUUACAGAGCCAGGGUUAAAAAGAAACAUUUCGUACACAAUAAAUAAGCUGCGAAUAUUUGCCUGAUUUGAGGUCUCUUGCCUAGGCAAUCGUUAGAAUUUGUUGGAAUGACAAUUUUGUUGACGGAAUCGCAAUCAAUUUAGACUAUGAUAUCCGAACAAGCACUACUUUAUCUGGCAUAAAUUUGCCAAAAGACAUCUCACUAGAAGUUGUAAAGCAUAAGCUUAUGCCAACGGAAACUUUACAAUGAGCAUAAUUCUGAACGGCAGAACCUAGAAUUGUCCCUUAAAGGAGUGGCCAUCUUAAAACCGAAGAAAGACAUUGUUGUCGUUUGUUUUAUAAUCAAUAUUGAAGACAUCUCUUCUAUUGCGGUAUUGAUUUAAGCCAUUACCGUAAAAUUUAUACCACAAAAUAAUUUUUGACGACAUAAGAAUUCAACAUUCUGGCUUUUUUGGUCUUUUGAAAGCAAUGGAUGUUUGUUUUUUAACCCCUUAAAGAUUUAGCCAGGGACAUUUCUAGCAGAAUAAGGAAUUUGUUAAUUCAUUUCCUUACGAAUAUCACUGAUUUUUCAAAAUAGUUGCCUUCCAGAAACUCGCAUUCUCUGUUUGACCACCUCGUUCAAUGCAUCUGCGAUUUUAUAUUUUAUUUUAGAUAGGAAUCGAAGUUUUCCAGGACAUUUUACAUGUAUAUUUUUUCCCCGAGUACAAUGCAAGAUGAAAUUAUUCACGGUAUAUUUUGCUGCGGUUUGAUUAAUAAACACAUUUUCUUU